rnacentral:rRNA from 1 species
AGUAACGCGUGGGUAACCUGCCCUGUACUGGGGGAUAACAGUUAGAAAUGACUGCUAAUACCGCAUAAGCCUACGGAGUUGCAUGACUCAGCAGGAAAAAUUCCGGUGGUACAGGAUGGGCCCGCGUCUGAUUAGCUAGUUGGUGAGGUAAUGGCUCACCAAGGCGACGAUCAGUAGCCGGACUGAGAGGUUGAUCGGCCACAUUGGGACUGAGACACGGCCCAG